rnacentral:tRNA from 2 species
AUUAGCUCAGCUGGGAGAGCAUCUGCCUUACAAGCAGAGGGUCGGCGGUUCGAUCCCGUCAU